rnacentral:rRNA from 1 species
CAGUUCGGAUCGGAGUCUGCAACCCGACUCCGUGAAGCUGGAUUCGCUAGUAAUCGCGCAUCAGCCAUGGCGCGGUGAAUACGUUCCCGGGCCUUGUACACACCGCCCGUCACACCAUGGGAGUCGGUAACACCCGAAGUCGGUAGCCUAACCGUAAGGAGGGCGCCGCCGAAGGUGGGAUUGAUGACUGGGGUGAAGUCGUAACAAGGUAGC